AUUGAACGCUGGCGGCAGGCCUAACACAUGCAAGUCGAGCGAGUGGCGGGCGGGUGAGUAAUGUAUGGGAAACUGUCCGAUGGAGGGGGAUAACUACUGGAAACGGUAGCUAAUACCGCAUACCAUCGGAUGUGCCCAGAUGGGAUUAGCUAGUAGGUGGGGUAACGGUUCACCUAGGCUACGAUCCCUAGCUGGUCUGAGAGGAUGACCAGCCACACUGGAACGGAGAAACGGUCCAGACUCCUACGGGAGGCAGCAGUGGGGAAUAUUGGACAAUGGGCGAAAGCAUGAUGCAGCCAGGCCGCGUGUAUGAAGAAGGCCUUCGGGUUGUAAAGUACUUUCAGCGAGGAGGCGUUACUCGCAGAAGAAGCACCGGCUAACUCCGUGCCAGCAGCCGCGGUAAUAC
rnacentral:rRNA from 1 species